rnacentral:rRNA from 1 species
GAUGAACGCCAGCUACAGGCUUAACACAUGCAAGUCGAGGGGAAACGAUAUUGGAAGCUUGCUUCCGAUAGGCGUCGACCGGCGCACGGGUGAGUAACGCGUAUCCAACCUGCCCAUCACUUGGGGAUAACCUUGCGAAAGUAAGACUAAUACCCAAUGAUAUCCGUCGAAGACAUCUGAAGUGGAUUAAAGAUUCAUCGGUGAUGGAUGGGGAUGCGUCUGAUUAGCUUGUUGGCGGGGUAACGGCCCACCAAGGCGACGAUCAGUAGGGGUUCUGAGAGGAAGGUCCCCAACAUUGGAACUGGGACACGGUCCAAACUCCUACGGGAGGCAGCAGUGAGGAAUAUUGGUCAAUGGACGAGAGUCUGAACCAGCCAAGUAGCGUGCAGGAUGACGGCCCUAUGGGUUGUAAACUGCUUUUAUAAGGGAAUAAAGUGAGUCUCGUGAGACUUUUUGCAUGUACCUUAUGAAUAAGGACCGGCUAAUUCCGUGCCAGCCGCCGCCGUAA